rnacentral:rRNA from 1 species
GCUGCUUCAGAGGCAUCUUAUCUUGUUGGGCGUGAAAAAGAGAAAUACGAACUUAUCAAACUAAUUGCAAAUGAAGAUAUCCAACAAAGUAAGGUGAUAUGGGUGUCGGGGAUGGUUGGUAUUGGAAAAACUACUCUAGUACAAGCUAUCUACCAACACCAGGAGCUCCGUGGAAUGUUUGAGAAGCAUGCUUAUGCAACAAUCUUGCGUCCCUUCAUUCUCGAGGAGCUCCUUACGAGCUUAGUCGUGCAAUUAGAUGAAGAAAAUUCUGAAGAGGACAUGAUGGGCUUGUUGCACAAUGAAAAGAAAAGAUUACCAUUGAGGUCUCUUGAAGAGUUGAUCAAGUUGUUUGCCAGACAUUUAGCAACAAAGAGGUGCUUCAUUGUUCUUGAUGAUCUGUUGUCUACUACUGAGUGGGACGGGAUAAGUCAAGCAUUCCCUGAAACAGAAAAUACAAGUCAGAUCAUAGUUACCACAAGAUUCUCUAAUAUUGCCAAACAGUGCUCAUGGGGAAAAAGUAGCAUAUACACACUCUUUGCUCUAAACUACCAUGACGCACAUAGCCUCUUCACAACAAAGGUAUUUAAGGAGACUGUAAAUUUCGAUGAGCAAUAUCCUGAGCUAGCUGAACAGGCAGACCUGAUAUUGAGAAUGUGCCGUGGACAACCCCUGGCAAUUGUCACCACAGCUACCUUCUUGGCAAACCAACCAAAAACCUUGGAGGAGUGGAGAAGAUUUAAUGAGCAAAUCAAUGAUGAGCUGGAGAUGAAUACAGAGGUUGGGGUCAUAAGAGCACUCCUUAGCAAAUGCUACGAUGGCUUACCCUAUCACCUAAAAUCUUGUCUAUUACACAUGUCCAUCUUCCUCCAAGACCAAAAGGUUAGCCGGAGACGGUUGGUGCGGCGGUGGACUGCAGAAGGUUACUCAAGGGUGGUGCGUGCCAGGUCCGUGGAGGAAACGAGAGAGAGCUACUUCAUGGAACUCAUAAGCAGGGGCAUGAUACUACCGACUCAACAAUCAUUUCGUAGCACAAAAGGAAUUGACUCGUGCCAAGUCCAUGAUAUGAUCCGUGGAAUUGGUAAUUCUAAGUCAGUGGAAGCAAAUCUUGUUUUCAGAUUGGAGGAAGGUUGUAGCCUAGACGGAGUGGGCACAGUCCGACACCUUGCUGUAAGUUGGAAUUGGGAGGAAGACCAAAGUGAAUUUGAGAGCAUAGUGGGCAUAUCUCAUACACGGUCAUUGACAAUAUUUGGCAAGUGGAGGCCAUUUUUCAUUUCUGAGAAGACAAGGCUUCUACAAGUACUUGACCUGGAAGACACGUCAGGUCUAGUUGAUCAUCACCUCGAGCAUAUCGGAAUUCUUCUUCACCUAAGAUACCUAUCCCUAAGAGGAUGUCUUCAUAUUUAUCACCUGCCAGGUUCGGUGGGUAACCUAAGGCAACUCCAGACAUUAGAUAUUGCAGGCACAUCCAUAUUCAAGUUACCAGGGAGCAUUGUCAAGCUUAGUAAGCUACAGCAUAUUCUUGCUGGCGCCAUCAGAAAUCAAGAUGACAACGACGACGACUUUGAAACAUCCUUUGAAGAUGUGCCAAAGCUAACGAGGAACAGGCUAUGCUUUUUGACUUGCUCUUCAGUGGCACUAUGUGUGGGAUGCUGCGCAUCUCCUCAUAUGGAUGGAGACGUGAACAGGCGUGAUGUAUGCACUGCGUGCUGCUGCUCCAUUUUACCUGCGUUUGCAAGGCACCAAUGUCUACGUGGUGUUGCAGUUCCCAGAGGAUUCCAUAAACUGAAAGCCCUGCACACUCUGGGUGCUGUGAACAUCGCAUCGGGGAAGGCCGCUCUAGAAGACUUGAGCAGACUUGGCGGGCUUCGUAAGUUAAGGGUAACUGGCAUCAACAAGAGAAACAGUAAAGAGUUCUGUUCGACAAUUGCUCAUCUCAGGUGCUUGGAAUCGCUGUCAAUGCAGUCAGCGGGCAAGCCUGGUUUAUCUGCCUGCUUGGAUGGCUUGCGCGCGCCCCCGAAAAACCUCCAGAGCCUCAAGUUUUACGGUAAUAUGGUCACUUUGCCAGGAUGGGUGAAGGGCGAGGGGCUUAAAAAUCUCGUGAAGUUAAAGCUACAGAGCUCAAGGAUGUUGCUAUGUGAUGCUGCCGUAGAAGUCCUUGGGAGUUUGCCAAAACUGGCCAUACUGCGUCUGUGGAAGGAGUCUUUCGAUGGAAAUGAUAUCCGUGUCACUUUCCAUCAGGACACAUUCCCGAGUCUGGUGCUGCUGGAACUGGAUCGGGUCGGUGACCUCAGAUCAGUGAAGUUUGAACAGGGAGCAACAGCUAAGCUAGAGCUGCUGCAGUUUCGUAGUUCGCUUAAAGCAGCACACGUUGGCUUGUUUUCUGGGCUACGAAAUCUUCUGAGCUUCAAGGAAUUUAAGCUUGUGGGUACCUACGAGCACAACUUCGUGGCAGACUUGCAGGAACAGCUUGCAUGUAAUUUCAAUCGUCCUGCCUUCAAGACCUACUGA